AACCUUUACACUGCACGCCAGUGCGAUAAGGGGACUCCAAGUGCGAGGGCAUAUAGUCCUCGCUUUUCUGGACCGUAAGGAGGUCCAGGAACAAGGGCUGGGCAAGACCGGUGCCAGCCGCCGCGGUAAUACCGGCAGCCCAAGUGAUGGCCGCUCUUAUUGGGCCUAAAGCGUCCGUAGCUGGCCAGGCAAGUCCGUCGGGAAAUCCGCACGCCCAACGUGCGGGCGUCCGGUGGAAACUGCCUGGCUUGGGACCGGAAGACCUGAGGGGUACGUCCGGGGUAGGAGUGAAAUCCCGUAAUCCUGGACGGACCACCGGUGGCGAAAGCGCCUCAGGAAGGCGGAUCCGACGGUGAGGGACGAAAGCUCGGGUCACGAACCGGAUUAGAUACCCGGGUAGUCCGAGCUGUAAACGAUGUCUGCUAGGUGUGACACAGGCUACGAGCCUGUGUUGUGCCGUAUUGAAGCCGUGAAGCAGACCGCCUGGGAAGUACGUCCGCAAGGAUGAAACUUAA
rnacentral:rRNA from 1 species